rnacentral:tRNA from 1 species
CUAAAUUUAAGUUAUUUAAACUAUUUAUUUUCAAAAUAAAAAAAUAAAUUUAGA